UAGGGAAUCUUCCACAAUGGACGAAGUCUGAUGGAGCAACGCCGCGUGAGUGAUGAAGGGUUUCGGCUCGUAAAACUCUGUUGUUGGAGAAGAACGGGUGUCAGAGUAACUGUUGACAUCGUGACGGUAUCCAACCAGAAAGCCACGGCUAACUACGUGCCAGCAGCCGCGGUAAUACGUAGGUGGCAAGCGUUGUCCGGAUUUAUUGGGCGUAAAGCGAGCGCAGGCGGUUUUUUAGGUCUGAUGUGAAAGCCUUCGGCUUAACCGGAGAAGUGCAUCGGAAACCGGGAGACUUGAGUGCAGAAGAGGACAGUGGAACUCCAUGUGUAGCGGUGAAAUGCGUAGAUAUAUGGAAGAACACCAGUGGCGAAGGCGGCUGUCUGGUCUGCAACUGACGCUGAGGCUCGAAAGCAUGGGUAGCGAACAGGAUUAGAUACCCUGGUAGUCCAUGCCGUAAACGAUGAGUGCUAAGUGUUG
rnacentral:rRNA from 1 species